UACGGAGGGGGUUAGCGUUGUUCGGAAUUACUGGGCGUAAAGCGCGCGUAGGCGGAUUGGAAGUUGGGGUGAAUCCAGGGCUCAACCCUGGAACUGCCUCCAAAACUCCCAGUCUUGAGUUCGAGAGAGGUGAGUGGAAUUCCGAGUGUAGAGGUGAAAUUCGUAGAUAUUCGGAGGAACACCAGUGGCGAAGGCGGCUCACUGGCUCGAUACUGACGCUGAGGUGCGAAAGUGUGGGGAGCAAACAGGAUUAGAUACCCCGGUAGUCC
rnacentral:rRNA from 1 species